GAAAACCAUCCCAACAGAGACAUCCGCAUUAAACUUUGUAGAACUCCUCCAGUGCUCUCAAGUGUUUUACAGACCACUAAUUAUUAAAUGUGGAAGCUCUGGAGCAGAGAACCUUUCAACUGAAAUGAUGACAAACGAUGCUGGCUGAGGAGAGUCAGACCUGAAAAGUUAGGAAUCCCUAAAAUGACGUCAACCUAUAAUUCCUAUUACAGAGCUCUGAUUUCUACUGAUCGUUUUAGGAACCAUAUCUACUAUGUGAGAAAAGCUGCUGGUGGGCCUAAUUUAGAUGAAAAGCAGAAAGGCCUUAAAAAAGAAAUGGGAAAGGAAUAUACAGAAGCAAGAAGAUGAUUGAAAAAAGAUGGCAAUUCAUGU
rnacentral:lncRNA from 10 species